rnacentral:rRNA from 1 species
UACAGAGGUCUCAAGCGUUGUUCGGAUUCAUUGGGCGUAAAGGGUGCGUAGGUGGCGCCGUAAGUCGGGUGUGAAAUUUCGGAGCUUAACUCCGAAACUGCCAUGGAUACUAUUUGUCUUGAAUAUUGUGGAGGUAAGCGGAAUAUGUCAUGUAGCGGUGAAAUGCUUAGAUAUGACAUAGAACACCAAUUGCGAAGGCAGCUUACUACACAGUUAUUGACGCUGAGGCACGAAAGCGUGGGGAUCAAACAGG